AAGACUAUAGACCUGCGGAGUACCUGCGGAGGGAUCACUGUUAGAUUGGGAUAUGGGGAUUUGAGUGGAGGGAUGGAUCAAUAGAUUCAUCACAUACUCUCACCCUCAUUACCAUUACCAUUAACACGCUUGCUUGUUUGACUGUAACCUAUAAUCACCUAUACAACUUUCAACAACGGAUCUCU
rnacentral:misc_RNA from 1 species